rnacentral:lncRNA from 1 species
UAAACAAAAUCUCUUUCCUUCUUAUAUUUAAAGGUCUUCUAUCUUUAAAUUGUUCUCCUACAUUGUUAUUUAUGUAAUCCAGAUAUUAGUUUUGUUAUUUAUGUAAUUCUCGUAACCCAGAUAUUCCAAAUGAUGAAAAGAAAACGAGUACUCCAGUGGAUAAGUUUAGAAGGCAUGCUGGGGUUUAGGUCUCUAAUAUUACCAAGCCAAUGCCCAUCACUAUUGAAUAUUGAGUUUGUAUUAAUACCUAUGUUAAGCCAUAAUUCCCUUGCAAUAGUGUAGUUUGAAAAGAUAUGUGUUAUAUUUUCAGGUUCUUUCCUACAGAUUGUGCAUAACUCAUUAAUAUUUAUACAUGCCUACAUGGUAUCCUAUUACAAUAACAUAACCAAAGAAAUAAUUUAAUUUUGUUAGGUAGUGUAUUUUUCAAAUUCACGUGCAAUUAAUCCUAGAAGAUUGUUCUUCAUCGAUUAAUUUAUAGCAAGACUUAAUAGUGAAAAUACCAUUAUUAUUAAUAGUCCACAUUGGGAGGUUUGAAGAAGUGUCAAUGGGAAAAUAAUGGACUGGAUUUUUUCAGUUAGAUCUUCAAAGGAGUCUAAAGGAGAUAGCAACUAGGUUCCAAGUGUUGUUGUGCCUUAUAAUACAUAAUGGCUAAGGAUGAUUCAUUUUUGUUGAGAGGUCCAGAGACAUAUUCCUGUAACUUUUUGCAAUUUGGGAUCCAUUUAUAGUCCCAAAUUUUUAAAGAUAAGUUUUGGUGUAUGACCAUGCAAUAUUUCUUGAUGAGUAGGUCGAGGGCAUGAGGAUUAUUUAUGAGUCACCAAACUAGACUUGUAAGGAGUGUUAAACUUUUUUAUUUAGCUUUCUUUUUGCCUAAUCCCCUAUUUUCUUUAUUGUUUGUAACAAUAUCCCAACUAAGAAGAUGCAUUUUCUUCAUUGACUCUUGUUCCCCAUAGAAAAUUCCUCCGAAUUUUGUCAAUAGUCUUAAGCGUUUUGGUAGGGAGUAAGGUAUAUUGAAUGUAAUAGGCUUGUAAACUAGAGAGCGUGGAUGAUGCUAAGGUGAUUCUUCCCGCUAUGUUCAUGCAAAUUGUUUUCCAACUAAAGAGUUUGUAGCGCAUGUUAUCGAUAAUGUAUUGGAAAUCUUUUAAUUUGGAAUGACCAUGUAGGAUGGGAAAAGCUAAGUAAUUAUCAAAAGAAUUACUACUCUUAAUGCCAAAGUAGGAGGAGGUAUUACUGCUGCAAUCUUUUGAGAUAUUUUUGAAAAGAUUAUUUUUAAUUUUUAUAGUUGAUAUUUUAACCAGACGGGUUACAAAAUAAAUUAAGACCAGUAUAAAUUGUGGAGCACGUUGUGUUAUUUAUUUGUCCCAUUAAGAUAAGGUUGUCGGCGAUAUGGCAAGACCUUUGGAGCAUAUUCUAAUGGGAUCUAUUGCUUGAUAUAAACUUAAUGAUUAGCAUAUCAGAAAAUCAACUCCAUACAUAAUAUAAAAAUAUAUGAGGACAUAGGAUCUCAUAGUCUAAUAUCUCUAUUAAGGUUAAAAAAAUUUAUUUGAGUACACAAUAUGUGCCUUUAAAAU